GGGUUAAGUCCCGCAACGAGCGCAACCCCUAUCAUCUGUUGCCAGCAUUUAAGGUGGGGACUCAGAUGAGACUGCCGGUGACAAACCGGAGGAAGGUGGGGACGACGUCAAGUCAUCAUGGCCCUUAUGUCCUGGGCUACACACGUGCUACAAUGGCCGGUACAGAGUGAAGCGAAACCGCGAGGUGAAGCAAAACGCAGAAAGCCGGUCUCAGUACGGAUUGGAGUCUGAAACUCGACUCCAUGAAGCUGGAAUCGCUAGUAAUCGUGGAUCAGCCAAGCCGCGGUGAAUACGUUCCCGGGCCUU
rnacentral:rRNA from 1 species